rnacentral:rRNA from 1 species
GGAAUAUUGCACAAUGGGGGAAACCCUGAUGCAGCGACGCCGCGUGAGUGAUGAAGUAUUUCGGUAUGUAAAGCUCUAUCAGCAGGGAAGAAAAUGACGGUACCUGACUAAGAAGCACCGGCUAAAUACGUGCCAGCAGCCGCGGUAAUACGUAUGGUGCAAGCGUUAUCCGGAUUUACUGGGUGUAAAGGGAGCGUAGGCGGCAUGGCAAGUCAGAUGUGAAAGCCCGGGGCCCAACCCCGGAACUGCAUUUGAAACUGUCAGGCUAGAGUACCGGAGAGGUAAGUGGAAUUCCUAGUGUAGCGGUGAAAUGCGUAGAUAUUAGGAGGAACACCAGUGGCGAAGGCGGCUUACUGGACGGUAACUGACGCUGAGGCUCGAAAGCGUGGGGAGCAAACA